UACGUAGGGUGCAAGCGUUGUCCGGAAUUAUUGGGCGUAAAGAGCUUGUAGGCGGUUUGUCGCGUCUGCUGUGAAAUUUCGGGGCUCAACCCCGAACUUGCAGUGGGUACGGGCAGACUAGAGUGUGGUAGGGGAGACUGGAAUUCCUGGUGUAGCGGUGAAAUGCGCAGAUAUCAGGAGGAACACCGGUGGCGAAGGCGGGACUCUGGGCCGAUACUGACGCUGAGGAGCGAAAGCGUGGGGGAGCGAACAGG
rnacentral:rRNA from 1 species